GCUAAUCUCCCAUAGGUUUAGGGCACUGGAAGGUCCCUAAACCGAAAGGGGCUCUGCCCGCCCGAGGAUGGGCCGGCGGCCGAUUAGGUAGUUGGUGGGGUAACGGCCCACCAAGCCCAUAAUCGGUACGGGCAGUGAGAGCUGGAGCCCGGAGAUGGACACUGAGACACGGGUCCAGGCCCUACGGGGCGCAGCAGGCGCGAAACCUCCGCAAUGCUCGAAAGAGCGACGGGGGGACCCCAAGUGCCGUGGUACAACCACGGCUUUUCCGGAGUGUAAGAAGCUCCGGGAAUAAGGGCUGGGCAAGGCCGGUGGCAGCCGCCGCGGUAAUACCGGCGGCCCGAGUGGUGGCCACUAUUAUUGGGCCUAAAGCGUCCGUAGCCGGGCUUGUAAGUCCCUGGCGAAAUCCCACGGCUCAACCGUGGGGCUUGCUGGGGAUACUGCAAGCCUUGGGACCGGGAGAGGCCGGGGGUACUCCUGGGGUAGGGGUGAAAUCCUAUAAUCCCAGGAGGACCGCCAGUGGCGAAGGCGCCCGGCUGGAACGGGUCCGACGGUGAGGGACGAAGGCCAGGGGAGCAAACCGGAUUAGAUACCCGGGUAGUCCUGGCUGUAAAGGAUGCGGGCCAGGUGUUGCUUGGACCUCGAGUCC
rnacentral:rRNA from 1 species